AGUGGCGGACGGCUGAGUAACGCGUAGGUAACCUGUCCAGUGGUGGGGGACAACCUGCCGAAAGGCGGGCUAAUACCGCAUGAGGUCACCGGGAAAUCCCCGGUGAAGAAAGCAGUAAUGCGCCACUGGAGGGGCCUGCGUCCUAUCACGGUAGUUGGUGGGGUAACGGCCUACCAAGCCUGUGACGGGUAGCUGGUCUGAGAGGACGACCAGCCAGAAGGGGACUGAGACACGGCCCCUACUCCUACGGGAGGCAGCAGCGAGGAAUCUUGGGCAAUGGGCGAAAGCCUGACCCAGCGACGCCGCGUGAGGGAUGAAGGCCUUCGGGUCGUAAACCUCUUUUGUGAGGGAAGAAGUUCUGACGGUACCUCACGAAUAAGCCACGGCUAACUACGUGCCAGCAGCCGCGGUAAUACGUAGGUGGCAAGCGUUGUCCGGAUUUACUGGGCGUAAAGGGCUUGUAGGCGGUCCGUUAAGUCCGGUGUGAAAUCUCCCGGCUCAACUGGGAGGGGUCAUCGGAUACUGGCGGACUCGAGGUGGGCAGAGGAAAGCAGAAUUCCCGGUGUAGCGGUGAAAUGCGUAGAUAUCGGGAGGAAUACCAGUGGCGAAGGCGGCUUUCUGGGCCUAUCC
rnacentral:rRNA from 1 species